GCAAGCUUUCGCCUUUUGAUUGUGGGUUGCUCGCUUUUUGGUUGUUGGAUUCUUUUCCCCAAUUUUUCGUGCUCUUCUUUUUUCGAUAAGUUUUUGGGCUUGCAAUUAGUCUUGGAUAUUAUUUUUAACUGAUAUCAGUUGAUGCUUGGGAAAUAUAUAUAUUUUUGCAUUUUGAAAUGUUACUUUUUUUUCCCUUCUUUGUAACCUCACU
rnacentral:misc_RNA from 1 species